rnacentral:piRNA from 1 species
UGGUCCAGAAAAGAAGAAUGAGAGCCUAGC